GCGCUCGUAGCUCAGUUUGGAUAGAGCGCAGCCCUGCGGAGGCUGAGGUCGUGGGUUCGAGUCCCGCCGAGCGCGCCA
rnacentral:tRNA from 1 species